rnacentral:other from 2 species
GUUUUCCUAAGAUGUUCGCAUAGCUUAUUAUAUUCAACCUACAUGACAUUUUCGGGAUUUGUGACAUACUUAUGUCUGUCAGGCUUCUCUAAAUUAAUUUACAGAAGAAGACAAAAUUAAGUUGAACUUAACCCACCUGCGAGGCGCAGGUAUGAAUAUGUAAGUAAACGGCAUGUUGGGAGCUAU